AUGGACUCCUUCUCGUCGCCGUCGAUGUCGUCGUCAGGGUCGUCCCCCAACCCGGAGGCGCUCAUGGAGCAGAUCAAGGCGCAGCUCGCGCAGGCCUAUGCCCAGGAGCUUCUUGAGACCGUUGGGAACAAGUGCUUUGCAAAGUGUGUGACCAAGCCAGGAUCAAGCCUGAGCGGAAGCGAGAGCAGCUGCGUGUCACGCUGUGUUGAUCGUUACAUUGAGGCAACUGGCAUCGUCGGCCGGGCUUUGUUCAGUCACCGUUAA
rnacentral:rRNA from 1 species